rnacentral:rRNA from 1 species
GUGGGGAAUCUUCCACAAUGGACGAAAGUCUGAUGGAGCAACGCCGCGUGAGUGAAGAAGGGUUUCGGCUCGUAAAGCUCUGUUGUCGGGGACGAAUGUGCAGUAUUUGAAUAAAGUACUGUAAUGACGGUACCUGACGAGGAAGCCACGGCUAACUACGUGCCAGCAGCCGCGGUAAUACGUAGGUGGCAAGCGUUGUCCGGAAUUAUUGGGCGUAAAGGGAGCGCAGGCGGGAAGGUAAGUUGGUCUUAAAAGUGCGGGGCUCAACCCCGUGAUAGGAUCGAAACUAUCUUUCUUGAGUGCAGGAGAGGAAAGUGGAAUUCCUAGUGUAGCGGUGAAAUGCGUAGAUAUUAGGAGGAACACCAGUGGCGAAGGCGACUUUCUGGACUGUAACUGACGCUGAGGCUCGAAAGCCAGGGGAGCGAACGGGAUUAGAAACCCCUGUAGUCC